UAGACCUCAAGGAUGAGCCUUUCAGAUUCCGGUCCAACUAUCAAAAAUAUUCAGUUUUGACCGAGAUAUUUCACUUUUAAGAUUUACACUAAAACCGGUUUUUACCGGUACUUACCGGUUCAAAACACCCAA